CACGUAGGGCGCAAGCGUUGUCCGGAAUUAUUGGGCGUAAAGAGCUCGUAGGCGGACUGUCACGUCUGCUGUGAAAACCCAGGGCUUAACCCUGGGCUGGCUUUCGAUACGGGCAGACUAGAGGUAUGCAGGGGAGAACGGAAUUCCUGGUGUAGCGGUGAAAUGCGCAGAUAUCAGGAGGAACACCGGUGGCGAAGGCGGUUCUCUGGGCAUUACCUGACGCUGAGGAGCGAAAGUGUGGGGAGCGAACAGG
rnacentral:rRNA from 1 species